AAAAAAAAAAGCACGAGGCUCCAACAAGUUUGCCAGACUUUCAUUGUAACAUAACAACUUAAAUCCACAUUUCAUCUCCCGAGGCCGGAGGUUGGGAGGGCUGAGCGUGUACAGGGAAGUCAGCGGGCCCGAGCUCAGGUCCGGAGUCCGCGGCAUGUCCGGGCAGGACAUCUGCCUCCUGGACCUCAGUGUCUUAGUUUCUUGGGAAGUAAAAUUGGAUUAAUAAGAGCAUUCCUCUUGUAAGGUUCUUGUGUCGAUGAAAUGAGACAAACUGCAAAGCCUUCCGCACAACGCCCCGCACGUGGCAGGCACAACACACGCUAGCAAAUAUUAUCACCAUCACCAUUAUCUCCUAAGGGAUAUUUUAACACCAAAUGAAGCUUUUUUUUUUUUUUUAAUUUAAGUGAUAGGACCCCACUGAAGCCAAAAUGACAGGGCUUAAAUCACAUACAUUCCGCUUUUGGAGCAAGUCACUACAUCGCCCUCACUGAUUUUCUAUGCGGCUUCAGUGGACCUGAGAAUUGCUGGAUUCGGUGAUAUGCACGUUCUUUCUGCUCUAAGAGGCAAUGCGUUUGUAAUUCUUCCCCGCCUGAUUAGCCAAAGGAGUAUCCCGGGGCCCACGGCCAAAGAGGAGUGAGAAGUCAGGUGCCUUUAGUGGCCAUCCUGGACCUGGGUUAGAUUCCAGCUCUACACAGACCUCUCUGUGCCGGCCGGGCGGAUUCAGGCAAUGAGAAAGCACAGAUGUGCAAUCCUUCGCCACCUCCCCUCCCUGUGUUUGUGACAUCAGGCUUCAGCCGCACCAGCAAUCCACCGAGGCUGCAGGGUCCUGGUCCGGGACCCAGCGCCUGGAAGUGCCCUGGUUUUGUCCUGCAAAAGCCGGCUGCGUGGGCAGAGGGUCCGUACCGCCAUCCCGCCCCCUCCCCGGGUCCCCGCUCAGGCCACCGCAGAGCCACACAGCGCGGGCCCUCCAGCAGAGGCUCAUCUAGGGAGGCCUCUUCUUCCCACUCAGCCUCCCUCUGCCUCUCCCUGCUGGGACUUGGGUGGGAGAAGCAGUGGGAGGAUCCACAGACUGAGAGCCAAGAAGCCAGAAGAAGCCGGAAGAUACGGGAACCUAGAGGGAAAAGCAUUCAGGGCCAGAAUGAGGACCCUCGGUGCUCCGUGGACAUACCUCCUGAGAUGGAACACACCCCCUGA
rnacentral:lncRNA from 1 species